rnacentral:rRNA from 1 species
CGCUGGCGGCAGGCCUAACACAUGCAAGUCGAGCGCACUCUUCGGAGUGAGCGGCGGACGGGUUAGUAACGCGUGGGAACGUACCCAGAUCUAAGGAAUAGCCACUGGAAACGGUGAGUAAUACCUUAUACGCCCUUCGGGGGAAAGAUUUAUCGGAUUUGGAUCGGCCCGCGUUAGAUUAGGUAGUUGGUGGGGUAAUGGCCUACCAAGCCUACGAUCUAUAGCUGGUUUUAGAGGAUGAUCAGCAACACUGGGACUGAGACACGGCCCAGACUCCUACGGGAGGCAGCAGUGGGGAAUCUUAGACAAUGGGCGCAAGCCUGAUCUAGCCAUGCCGCGUGAGUGAUGAAGGCCUUAGGGUCGUAAAGCUCUUUCGCCUGUGAUGAUAAUGACAGUAGCAGGUAAAGAAACCCCGGCUAACUCCGUGCCAGCAGCCGCGGUAAUACGGAGGGGGUUAGCGUUGUUCGGAAUUACUGGGCGUAAAGCGCACGUAGGCGGAUUAGAAAGUUAGGGGUGAAAUCCCGGGGCUCAACCUCGGAACUGCCUCUAAAACUCCUAGUCUAGAGUUCGAGAGAGGUGAGUGGAAUUCCAAGUGUAGAGGUGAAAUUCGUAGAUAUUUGGAGGAACACCAGUGGCGAAGGCGGCUCACUGGCUCGAUACUGACGCUGAGGUGCGAAAGUGUGGGGAGCAAACAGGAUUAGAUACCCUGGUAGUCCACACCGUAAACGAUGAAUGCCAGUCGUCGGCAAGUAUACUUGUCGGUGACACACCUAACGGAUUAAGCAUUCCGCCUGGGGAGUACGGUCGCAAGAUUAAAACUCAAAGGAAUUGACGGGGGCCCG